CUUACGAUAGACCUGCCAAAGACUCUGUGGGAUUGACGAGUAAUCUCUUCAGUGCCAGGAUGUUUAGUUAAGGCGAGUGAACCCCAGGACGGCUGCUUGAUUUGAAACCCCUCGUUGCAACUCCAUACUGCUGACAAACGAACAACAGUAAGAUUCGGAUUCGUCUGGAUGUGAACCACAAAGUAAUUUGACUCCUUAAGUGGUUGUGGGUUGCAGUCAAAUGGAAACUGUUUAAUCAGAAGUCAAGACUUAUUGGGACAGUUAAAAACAUAAGAAACUCACUGAUGUUCAGCAGAGGACUGAAAAACUGGAAACUUUGCGACUCGGGAGAUUUUGUCUGUCCCCUCUGGCUGUCAGCUGGGUCUAUUUCUGUUCUAGUAAACCAUGAGGGCAAAGAGGGUGGCUGCCUUUAAGAAAAAAGAGUCAGAAACAUGACUUUGGAAGAGUUUUCCCCAAUCCCCAGUGGAUAUGUGUGUAUGUACAUGCCUAUGGAAGUGUGUGACUGCUCCGCUGCUGCAACCCCUCAAGCUGGAAAGGAAACUCUGCAGUUCACAUUGAGAACACUUUUCAAAUAAAUUAAAAUUCCCUUCACUUUUCGUUCACUUUGCACCAUGGAGCAAAUUAGCUGAAGAGGCCAGCUGGUUUUUAUCUGUGUACAGUCUGUUGAUGUAGUCGUGAUACCCGAUUCGCUGAAGCCUGUGCUGAACUUGUGCUGCAGCACUCUGAAACAGGACCCAGCUGCUGGUGCGCCGGUGACCUGACAUCUAAUUGCUUGCAAUGGAACAAGCAGCUUGGAAAUGUGGUUUCUGGAGGAGGUGGCAGUGAUGGUGGAGUGCAGGGGGGCUAAAGAGACGAGUGACUGACACAUUGACGUGGGGGCUCAGAAACCGAGGAAGACAUUAAGUUUCUGCCUUUGAAUUUUCUCUGAACCGCACGUAAUUGUUUGCAGAACUUGAAUGACAUCAGAGCGCUGACUUUCACUAAUGGGCUCCCUGAAAGAGCCAGAAUCUGCUUCAAAACAAACUAGAGCAAGAUGGAAUUUCAAUGGGCCAAAAAGAAACAGAGCAGGAAUCGUUCAAGCAACAGAAUCCCAGAGUGAGCGUCCCACUGGGAUCCGUAUGGCUGCUGUGCGGGUUUAAAGUCUUUGUCCGCCCAUCUCCUCUGAUUACCAUCGUGUCUCUGGAGAAGUCCAUGAGGGCAGAAUUCGUGUGCAUUCAUGUGUGUUUGAAAAGAUGUGUAUGAGCGUGUUUGUAAAAGUCUGGAAGAUAAUUCCACACCAGUUAUUAUGUGUGGAGGAAAGAAAAUCCGACAGUCAGUUUAUUAUUUUUUUCUUUCAAUUAAUGUGUAACUUAAACUCGUAUGAACUGACUUUUUAGUCGCUUGGUACAGCACAACGAGCUGUACGAUGAACAAUCUUACACACGGAACAGCCUUCGUUCAUUUUAAACAAUCUGUCUCAUCACCUUAUGAAUGUGAAUCCAAUAUUCACUAGAUUUCAGUCUAUUUUGGUCUCCUCCAACUCAAGAUAGCAUCUGUUUUUUUGGUCGCUAAGAGCUCCACUGUUUUCACCAGCUAGUUUUCUAACGACAGCCACAUUUACACAUCACAUCACUUCACGCAUCUUUGGCGGCACACACAACUCUUCAAUUUCAAAAGUGAAAAAUGCAUCCAAGAAGCUUUCGGGAUGGAUUGAAUUUCAGUUUCUCAAAGCACCUCCAGCCUCCAGCUUAGCCACUGAAUUAUCUGUAAGUGUGAGGAAGCAGUGAGAGUUGGAGCACACUUGAAAUGUAAAUGGGGCUUUAGUCUGUCUGUUUAGUCUGAUGUUUGUGAAGGUAGUCUACAGGAGCUUCUAGCUUUCCUUUUUUUCACUGAAAACAGCUGUUUAUUGGAAAUGCUGCUAUUGGCAGCAGUGAGUGUGAACCAAAACAGUAAAACUACACAAUAAAGUGAAAGAUGAUAAAAUGUUCCAAAGUGUUUUGAAAAACUACAGAGUGGGAUAUUAGUUAUUUCUGGAUUUGAUGCCAUGAGAACCAUUCUGCACAUCUUAUGUUGUUUUUUAUUGUUGAUAUAAAAACAUUGUUUAGAGCUGCUCCAUUUUAUGAUAAGUUUAUAUCUGAAGAUUUCACUUUUAGAACUAUAGCUCAGAUCAGAACUUAAAUCAUAGCUUUUCAUUUCAAACAGCAACAGCACACUAACUCACUGUGAAUAUGUAUAUGGCAUAUAGAUGUAUGCAUACACACACGACUGCAACUCUUGCACAAUGUCAACUGCACGUGUCUUUCCCUCUCAGCAUUUAUAGCUAUUCAUUCUUCUGUUUUAAGGCAUAUUUUGUCAUGUCUUGUUGUUACUGCACAGUCUUGUGAAACUGCCCAAACAUGUAUGAGCAUGUGACAAAUAAAAAACUCCAGAACCUUGAA